rnacentral:tRNA from 1 species
AGAGAUUUAGGUUAAAAGGAAGACCCGGGGCCUUCAAAGCCCCAAGUGGAAGUUAGAACCUUCCAACCUCUA